AAAAGACUGACAGUCCAAACAUCACCAGAAGUGUUUGGAAAGGAAUACAAUAUGGUUAAGAAUGGUUUAUCCAGGAAUCACUUAAGUCGCAGUCCCCGCCUACAAUGUUGAGACCCCUGGCUGCAGCCUCUCACGAUCUCCAGUGCCUGUAUGGAUGUCAGCCCGCCAAUCUCUGGGGUACCUGUCACAGAAGAUACACUUGCUACAACAACAGGGGCAAAGCAUGGGUCAAGCCCGUCAAUGUCAAAAGAUAUGUAGACUGGGUGUUCGCCCAUCAUCACCCGCACUUCCUCCAUCAGUGGGCUCAGGGACUUAUGCCAGCACUCAACGGCAUCAACAACGCGGAAACCCUGUGAGGAGAUCCCUGCUGCUGAACUUAGGAUCCCCAGAGACAGCUGCUGAUUGAGAUGGCAGCAAUGAUCAAGUUACACGUGCGCAGCAUCAUGAACACGGAGGUGAAAUCAGUCAUUAGGGCCCUGCCUAAAUACAUACCCGGGCAAACUGAAAGCAGUCAUCACGCAUGGCAUACAUGAAUGAGUAAAGAGGCAUUAUGCAGUAUAAAAUGUGCAGGCACUUAUCGGUUGGCUGUAGCCAUACAGUUU